GACAGAGGGGGCAAGCGUUGCUCGGAAUUACUGGGCGUAAAGGGCGCGUAGGCGGGAUGGCAAGUCGGUCGUGAAAUCCUUCGGCUCAACCGAAGAACGUCGAUCGAUACUGCUGUUCUUGAGGGUUGCAGAGGAGACUGGAAUUCCCGGUGUAGCGGUGAAAUGCGCAGAUAUCGGGAAGAACACCCGUGGCGAAGGCGGCUUUCUGGGACGGUACUGACGCUGAGACGCGAAAGCGUGGGGAGCGAACAGG
rnacentral:rRNA from 1 species